CUCACACUCCAUGUGAGCUCACACACUGCCCUCUGCACACUGUGUGAACUCACACACUGCCCUCUGCACACUGUGUGAGCUCACACUCUGCCCUCUGUACACUCGGUGUGAGCUCACACACUGCCCCCCUGGAGGCAGCUUCCAUCACCCCAGGAGGGCAGCUUGAUGACCCUUCUCCCCAUCUCCAGAGCACCACCUUGGUGUAUGGGGGAGCCCAAGAUUGUAUGACAACGGGCUGACUGGAACUGCCUCCUCCAAAUGUUCCUGCUGGAAGCGGGACCAGCAGCAGCCAAUGCCUUAGCAAAGCAGCCAAAACAGCACCAAGGGGACAGAUCUACCCAUCCUGCCCUGCCUGGGGCCAGGAAGCAGCAUCCAGUGGGCAGCUCUGCCCAUCAGCACGGUCUCAGCACGGUCUCAGCUUGCUGCUAAAAACCAUCCAACCCCUGGUGGUAAAAUAUCAGAGAAAAAGAGGCACCUGGGCAAGGUGUGGCCUCAGCUCCAGGGAGAGGGAAAAAGAGUGAAAUAAAAUGAGCUCCUGAAUGCCAUGUGACACGA